CCGGAGGUAGCUCAGCUGGUAGAGCAUGCGUCUCAUACGCGCAGCGUCGCAGGUUCGAGCCCUGCCCUCCGGA
rnacentral:tRNA from 1 species